rnacentral:rRNA from 1 species
GAUGAACGCUGGCGGCGUGCCUAAUACAUGCAAGUCGAGCGAACGGACUAGAAGCUUGCUUCUCUGAUGUUAGCGGCGGACGGGUGAGUAACACGUGGCUAACCUACCUAUAAGACUGGGAUAACUUCGGGAAACCGGAGCUAAUACCGGAUAAUAUUUUGAACCGCAUGGUCAAAAAGCGAAAGCCGGUCUUCCGGUCCCUUAUCCUUGGACCCCCGCUGCAUUAGCUAGUUGGUAAGGUAACGGCUUACCAAGGCAACGAUGCAUAGCCGACCUGAGAGGGUGAUCGGCCACACUGGAACUGAGACACGGUCCAGACUCCUACGGGAGGCAGCAGUAGGGAAUCUUGCGCAAUGGGCGAAAGCCUGACGGAGCAACGCCGCGUGAGUGAUGAAGGUCUUCGGAUCGUAAAACUCUGUUAUUAGGGAAGAACAUAUGUGUAAGUAACUGUGCACAUCUUGACGGUACCUAAUCAGAAAGCCACGGCUAACUACGUG